rnacentral:piRNA from 1 species
UGAUGUGCUUCCUGACCCUUUGGC